rnacentral:rRNA from 1 species
AGUGAACGCUGGCGGUAGGCCUAACACAUGCAAGUCGAACGGCAGCACAGUAAGAGCUUGCUCUUACGGGUGGCGAGUGGCGGACGGGUGAGGAAUACAUCGGAAUCUACUUUUUCGUGGGGGAUAACGUAGGGAAACUUACGCUAAUACCGCAUACGACCUACGGGUGAAAGCAGGGGAUCUUCGGACCUUGCGCGAUUGAAUGAGCCGAUGUCGGAUUAGCUAGUUGGCGGGGUAAAGGCCCACCAAGACGACGAUCCGUAGCUGGUCUGAGAGGAUGAUCAGCCACACUGGAACUGGGACACGGUCCAGACUCCUACGGGAGGCAGCAGUGGGGAAUAUUGGACAAUGGGCGCAAGCCUGAUCCAGCCAUACCGCGUGGGUGAAGAAGGCCUUCGGGUUGUAAAGCCCUUUUGUUGGGAAAGAAAAGCAGCAGGUUAAUACCCCGCUGUUCUGACGGUACCCAAAGAAUAAGCACCGGCUAACUUCGUG